AAACUCUUGAAAUUAGUUUACCUCAUCCAUGCACUUUAAUUGAAGAACUGCACUUUUUUAACUUCGUCUUCGCCCUCUGAAAUUAAAGAAAAAAUUUAUCUGCAGCGUUGCUUGGUGUACAGAUUGCUGAAACCGUGGGGCUUACAGACAUCAGACGUGACAGCCGGUCAUUGGAAUUAGACCUGGAACAAAUUGUUUCUCACCAGUACUUCAGUCCAUCCUCAGUCUGUAAAAUACGUGUACCUGUAUAAAUAGAACUCUGCCUCUGAGUUUCGAUGCUGUACUUGCUGCCAGACCCUGAGCUGCUCCGAGACGCCCUUGACCCUCCCUCCACUUGGAAUUACAACCGCCGUAUUUCGUUUGGCAUAAUUUAUACACGUUUUGCUCAACUGGAAUUAUGACCAUGCCCAGGAACAUUUUUGGACUCAGUUGUAGCAUUUAAAGCUUGGUUCAAACAAAGACCUGGGUGAAAAUCAUGUGGCUCACCCACGCAGCCUCCUCAGGGCUCAGGUCACCUGGUAGAUUCAUGUGACAAUGGCGGCUGGAAUGAAAAGGAACGUGGAUUUUUGAAAAAAAUAAUUCCAAGCCCUGUAAUCCCUAAUGGAACAAAUGAGGUCUGUUUCUUUGGGCCUGAGGCUGUGCCAUAUAAAGUCUUCUUGGGACCCUGUAAACUUAUCAUAACUACCUUAUGGAUAGUGGGCUGUGACAAUCUUGAAUAGGGAACUUUCAUACGUCCCUCCUUUAACGAAGCAAUCCCAAAUCUACAAGGGAGUAGAUUCUGCUAUCUUGGCCUCACAGCCCUUUCUGUUGGUGACAAAGCCCUUGGAAGAAAACAGAACCCGCCCUCCUCAGUUCCUUCCAAAUGUGUUUCUUCUGCUUCUGCUGUGCCAGUUCUGGGGCAGAGACACUGAAGAAACAGCAGCGAUACCUGGGAAGAAUAAAUGUCUGACUUUCACCUCCCCUUUCCCAGUGGAAAAGCAGCAGCGUGGAGGUUCAGCAUCUGUUCCCCAGUCACACCGAGGAAUGUACCGCCUCACGGCACCAGCUCUGCAGAGCCCUUGCUCCCAAACUUCGGGUUUAAUUUAUAUGUAUUUCCAUGUUUCAUUCCCGUACGUCACAGCUGCACUGGCGUGGCAGCGAGUGACCAAAGGCUACAGGUUUUAUUACGGACACCGGUCAGGUGCCACCAUACAGAACAAAGCCAGUUCCCAUGAGCUGCCUAUGAUAUGCAUUGCUGAAGUGACAGUUUACCCAGGGUGUGCCAUUGCAGUGAUAUAAAUAUAUUUUUUUUUUCCUAGACUAAAUAUGAGCUGACUAUCUCUUUUGAUGUGUGUACAUAGGUGUGAGUGUGUGUGCGUGCGCGUAUGUGCGUGUGUGCGUGUACAGCCUCAUGCUUAGAACUGCCUGUGAAUGUCGUGGAAUGCGAUACCUGGAAAGUUCUGGUUUCCCACCAGUUUCAAGAUAAAGAACCAUAUGAUGUAUUGGGCCUAGAGACGGUUCCCUUGGGAAGACAACCUGGAAAUGUUAAAUGUCCUGUAUCUAUAUAUGUAUUUUGUAGCUGCCACACUAACCUUAAGAAGUAAUUCUACAGCUUUGGAUGGAGGCAAUUUCACCUUAUAAUGGUGGAGUAAUUUUAGAAUAUAAAUCCAUUCAGGUGACAGCCCGUAGAGGAAAUCACAGAUUCUGAUUGAACUCAUCUGACUCACCAGUUCCUCAGUGGAGAGAGAAGGGGAAGGAAUCCGUCCAGAAGCCCCACUUGGAGUAUAAGUAGCCUUCGUUUCCCCGCAUAAAUGGACUUGUUGAAUGCGAACAAAUAUAUGCAAUUCAUAUACUUUUGGAGAUGAACGUAGAUAUGUGUGUCAGCUUUGAGAUGAUGUGUCCGGAUUAAUACUUUGUCUCCCGAUAUCACAGAAAAAA
rnacentral:lncRNA from 1 species